UCGAUUGACCCAGAUGACGGCGACCAACCACAGAUUGUGCCACAGUUGUCUGGACAUAACCUGAUUUACAGGGAUCACUUUGCCAACACUCACUUCUAGGUUCAUCACAUUCAAGGCAUGGUUCAAGAUUGGAUCUCCUUGCUGGUGGAGCACAUCUUCCACCACUUGCUGCUGCAGGGACUGUGUGUACGGCCUUGACAGUGGGAACUGCUGCAUCACUCGGAUUGCUUGGAGUAACCGCCACAUCUGCCACAUCUGCCACACUGG